rnacentral:rRNA from 1 species
UGACCUCAAAUCAGGUAGGACUACCCGCUGAACUUAAGCAUAUCAAUAAGCGGAGGAAAAGAAACUAACAAGGAUUCCCUUAGUAACUGCGAGUGAAGCGGGAAAAGCUCAAAUUUAAAAUCUGGUGGUCUUUGGCUACCCGAGUUGUAAUCUAGAGAAGCACCAUCCGCGCUGGACCGUGUAUAAGUCUCCUGGAAUGGAGCGUCAUAGAGGGUGAGAAUCCCGUCUUUGACACGGAUUACCAGGGCUUUGUGAUAUGCUCUCAAAGAGUCGAGUUGUUUGGGAAUGCAGCUCUAAAUGGGUGGUAAGUUCCAUCUAAAGCUAAAUAUUGGCGAGAGACCGAUAGCGAACAAGUACCGUGAGGGAAAGAUGAAAAGAACUUUGGAAAGAGAGUUAAACAGUACGUGAAAUUGUUGAAAGGGAAACGCUUAAAGUCAGUCGCAUUAGCUAGGGAUCAACCUUGCUUCUGCUUGGUGUACUUCCUGGUUGAUGGGUCAGCAUCAAUUUUGACCAAUGGAAAAAGGCCAAGGGAAUGUAGCAUCUUCGGAUGUGUUAUAGCCUUCGGUCACAUACAUUGGUUGGGAUUGAGGAACUCAGCACGCCGCAAGGCCGGGUUUUAACCACGUUCGUGCUUAGGAUGCUGGCAUAAUG